rnacentral:lncRNA from 1 species
AGAGCAGAGCCCACAGAAACCUAGAGCUGAAGGAGCAUUUCUAGCCACCAUGAGCAAGAAGACGGGGACCAGCCCGGAAGUCUCUCCAAGAGCCCCAAAGUCCAGGAAUCCCCACCAAAGGAUUCAGAAACAGCGCCCACAGUCCGGGGCCCCUCUGAACGCCUAAUUUAGAUCCCACACCUGCUCGGCUUUCCUGCUUCCGGAACCCACGCUGGACCCCCCACCUCUCGGACAGCCUGCCUGGCACUGGCCAGACCCUUCCCCCGACCCCGCGCUACUCCCCUGGGUGUGCGCAUAUGCGCGCGCUCUCCCAGUCCCCCUUUACCUUCUAGAGGAAAAG